rnacentral:rRNA from 1 species
UACGGGGGGGGCAAGCGUUGUUCGGAAUUACUGGGCGUAAAGGGCGUGUAGGCGGCCAACUAAGUCCGACGUGAAAUCCCCAGGCUUAACCUGGGAACUGCGUCGGAUACUGGAUGGCUUGAAUCCGGGAGAGGGAUGCGGAAUUCCAGGUGUAGCGGUGAAAUGCGUAGAUAUCUGGAGGAACACCGGUGGCGAAGACGGCGAUCCCUAGG